AUUGAACGCUGGCGGCAGGCCUAACACAUGCAAGUCGAACGAGUGGCGGACGGGUGAGUUAUGUAUGGGAAACUGCCCGAUGGAGGGGGAUAACUACUGGAAACGGUAGCUAAUACCGCAUACCAUCGGAUGUGCCCAGAUGGGAUUAGCUGGUAGGUGGGGUAAUGGCUCACCUCGGCGACGAUCCCUCGCUGGUCUGUGAGGAUGACCAGCCACACUGGAACUGGGACACGGUCCAAACUCCUACGGGUGGCAGCAGUGGGGAAUUUUGCACAAUGUGCGCAAGCCGGAUGCAGCCAGUCCGCGUGUAUGAAGAAGGCCUUCGGGUUGUAAAGUACUUUCAGCGAGGAGGCGUUACCCGCAGAAGAAGCACCGGCUAACUCCGUGCCAGCAGCCGCGGUAAUAC
rnacentral:rRNA from 1 species